CAGUCGCCGCGGAAUACGUAGGGUGCAAGCGUUAAUCGGAAUUACUGGGCGUAAAGCGUGCGCAGGCGGUUAUAUAAGUCAGAUGUGAAAUCCCCGGGCUCAACCUGGGAACUGCAUUUGAGACUGUAUGGCUAGAGUGUGUCAGAGGGGGGUAGAACUCCACGUGUAGCAGUGAAAUGCGUAGAUAUGCGGAGGAAUACCGAUGGCGAAGGCAGCCCCCUGGGAUAACACUGACGCUCAGGCACGAAAGCGUGGGGAGCAAACAGGAUUAGAUACCCGUGUAGUCCCUGUCUCUUAUACA
rnacentral:rRNA from 1 species